UACGAAGGGGGCUAGCGUUGUUCGGAAUUACUGGGCGUAAAGCGCACGUAGGCGGGUCUGUAAGGCGAGGGUGAAAUCCCAGGGCUCAACCCUGGAACUGCCUUCUAGACUGCAGGCCUCGAGGUCAGGAGAGGCGAGUGGAAUACCGAGUGUAGAGGUGAAAUUCGUAGAUAUUCGGUGGAACACCAGUGGCGAAGGCGACUCGCUGGACUGAUACUGACGCUGAGGUGCGAAAGCGUGGGGAGCAAACAGG
rnacentral:rRNA from 1 species